CCAUUAAAUGUGCAGCGGUACCACAGGAAAAACACACAAAUUCAGAGGAUAACACGUUACUAAUUCAAAAGAUUUAUCUAGCAUUAUGUAUCUAAUAGGAGUAUACAAUAUCAACAAAAACAACGGGAUAAACAAGAAAAAUACGGGGACAGCUAGACAAAACGAAUAAUCAAGAUUACACUCAAAAAAUAAAACGAUAAAGCUAGAGGCUCCAACCAACGAUGCAGCACUCCAGUAUAGCUGCAUCCAAAAUUCCCUCAAAACAAAUCUGCAUCCAAAACCUCUCAUAGUCAUACAAGGAUCUCACCAACCUCAACUUGCACAACAAAGGACAAACAGUAGUGGCGCCUGAAACUCUAGUUCCCCAUGACGUUUUUUUUUUUAAAGCACUUGUCCACGAAAGUUGGCGCGCUAUGUACGGACUACCUUAAGUUUUCUGAAAUAAUAUCUCUACUAUAAAAUAUCUCGAGGAUUCAUGCUCUUUUUUAGGGUGAUAUCUCGAGAAUUCUGGUGCAUGGUGGUGUCAAUCAUCUCUAGCAUUGGUUCUCCAUUUUUAAAUGAGCAAAUUUUCGUUGUUGUGCCGUUGUUGCCAGUUGGAACAUUAUUUUUUUUGCCAGUAGAAAGCGAUAUGGUGGGUAAGGAACCAUCCGGUUUGUCUCUCUUUCAAUGUGCGCGUGUGGUUCGCGUACCGUGCCGACUGCUGAUGGUCAAGCUUCAGCUGUCCAUCUCAAAAUGCCAUUUUUUCUAAAGAAAUAUUCGAUAUAGAUUUAUUUAGCAAUAAUUAUUACUAUUGUCUAAUGGGAUAUAUAACCUGCCCGUUUCUAUAUUUUGUUUCCAGAAUUUCCUCCAAAUAAAUUACCGCAAAUCUUUGGUAGUACGACAUGUUUUGGGAAGCUUCUAGCUAGUGCAUA
rnacentral:lncRNA from 1 species